rnacentral:lncRNA from 1 species
UAGCCAUCGCAAAGUUCAUGGGCAUCACCACCAGCACGUCAUACUAAAGAGAGGAACAGAGUCCUACGACCGUACACGGAACGCCCUGCACCGUACCGAGAGGUAUCCAUGACCAUAUCGAAGACAUCGCACAACAUCUGCAAGGAUAGGACAACAAUCGGCUGACGCUUUACCACGUUAAGAUCUAUAAUGUUAUCUCUGGUUUCGAACGUUCGGGACCCGGGUUCGAUUCCCGGCGCCCGUGAUCCUAUUUUUCUUCCACGCAUCAAAAUGGAAGAAUAAUUAGCAGUAUCCCAGCAGCGACAUCUACAGCCGGCAAUUACUACUAUCACGGACAACAUAUACCACCUCUACAAUACUAAUUAAGAAUAAUAUUAAAAUAACCAUUGAUGUUGA